UAGAAAAACAACGCUGGUACGGGUACGAAACCGACUCCUCUUGAAGGCUACCUAGGCUCUUCGUACCCUACUCCUACUCAAAACGUCCCCGGCGUACAGAACGGUAACAUGUUACUCCACAUAUCUGUGCUUGGGUACACGGGGAAACCCAACCCCUUGGGAAGAUAGAUGAUAUGGCUAAUUUGAGAUGG
rnacentral:ribozyme from 1 species